rnacentral:rRNA from 1 species
CACGUAGGGUGCAAGCGUUGUCCGGAAUUAUUGGGCGUAAAGGGCUCGUAGGCGGUCCGUCACGUCGGGAGUGAAAACUCGGGGCUCAACCCCGAGCCUGCUUUCGAUACGGGCGGACUAGAGGUAGGUAGGGGAGAACGGAAUUCCUGGUGUAGCGGUGGAAUGCGCAGAUAUCAGGAGGAAUACCGGUGGCGAAAGCGACUCUCUGGACGGCAACUGACGCUGAGGCACGAAAGCGUGGGGAGCAAACAGG